AGGAGGUCCAAGGAUCAUGUUUGGAUUAACAUGAAUUCUCUGAAGUCUGCUGAUCUUCUUAUCUUGAUCGAUUGAUGUCAUGGGAUAACACAUACGUUGUUUCGACAUGUAUUGGUGGGGGCUUUAUUGCUGUGAUUUCGGCGCAUGAUAUUGAUUAUCUGCUCUACUAUAUAUUACUAUAUGUGUUGUAUUGCUACCACUUUUAUGGACGGAACAAUUCCGAUGACUAUCUACCCUACAGAUUGGUUUCUCCAUUAAUAUCCCAUACUUCCGUUACGCAUUAUCAAACGUUACUCCUUUAUCAAACCGUUCAAUGUCGCCAUUAUUCUUCCGUAAUACAUUAUCAAACUGAAAUUAUUAGAGGAGAUCUCUUCUACUACAGAUCAGAGAAGAUCUCUUCCCCUACUUAUCCUCUUCCGUUACACUUUUAUCCCAUUAUCUUCUCUUCUCAUUCUCUCCUUCAUCUGCUCUGAAAUUAGGGCAAAAUAUUCAAAGUAUUGGGACAUUGAAGACCCGUAAAUCAAGUUUCUCAUACAUUACAGAUGUUCCCCUGCAUAAACACCAACAUAGGUCAUCAUCUUGCCAUGUUUCAGGCGCGUACUCUAUCAACACUGCUAGGUUUUUAAGUUCUUUUGCAGGCUUCGACAGUUGUUUUCGGAAAAAAGAUGCCAUCCAUCUUAGGUUUCUAUUGUUGUCUUCGGAAAAGAGGUGCCAUCCAUCUCAGUUUCAGAUAGAGCAUGGUUUUCUUUACUAGGUAGAUUAUCUUUCAUAAUUCUCAAAGCCACUGUCGUCCUUCUUACUACUUUUAAAUUAGAACUAUACCGACAGAAGUACAAGUUCCCUAUUUCCUUACUUUUAGUAAAGAGAGUGAUGUGUAAUAUGCGCUGGAAAAUGUUCAUGCUUGGAACACCAUGAUAUCAUGGUAUACAAAAACGGGUAGAUAUUUGGAAGUUAAAGAUGUUCAAAAUUAUGACGAAUAUGGGUACUCAACCCACUAUUGUGAGUUUUACUAAUGCCUUUGCGGCAAUUGUGGGAUAUGAGGAUUGGAAGAGUUUUGUUAUUCUCUGGAGGUUGCUUCUUAAAUUGAGUGCUGAUUAUGUCAGUGAUCUGGCGAUUUGGUGUUUUCUGGGCUAGCUGACUUUUAUGCAGCUAGACAAGUUUUCAAUUGGUCUAGACAUAUGACUAUUGAGAUUUGGAACACCAUGAUUGGCGGGUAUGCACAGAAUGACCUUUAUGAUGAAACUAGAUGUGAUAGAUAGUGAAUAUAUCUCAAUAGCCAUCAUUUUUAAAUCAUAAAAGAUCUUACGUACAAUGGUGUUUAAUCGCCAUUAUAUUAGAUUGUAAUUGAAUUGAUAGUCCCACACAUUAUUGGAAUCAUAUUAGUGUUUACAGAUUAUAUUAGAAUGUAACUGCGAAAAAAUUAAAUAAUAAUUUGACAUUAUACAUUACCAUAUUAAUACUCAUUAAUCUCUUUCUUAGGCCAUUCCUACUUACAUUGUUGUUCCUUUUUCGACUCAGAUCGUAUCCAUGUUUCCCUUAAAAGCAUCUCAAAUUUCUAUGUGUUUGACCUAACUUUGUGGACUACAUGGUUAAGUGCACAUUAGUAGUACCAUUAUGGAUAGUGUGGAUGUUUGCAAGAUGAAUGAUUGUUCACUGUAUUGCAAUUACCAUCUCUGUUUGAACUACAUUUUGUCAUGUGUACCUCCGUCCAAUAUUUAUUGUCCAGUGAAGUGGCUUAAAAAGAUGUCUGCAGAUUACGGCUGUCACUAACAAUGGAUCUCCUCUGAUCUGUAGUAGAAGAAAGUUAUCCCAUAUUGUUAUAUCUUCCUCCCUUAAGAGUUAUGAGUUUGUAUGUUAUCCCGCCUAUGCUAACUUGAUGCUAUGGUAUGUAAUUCUUUCUAAACUCACCUAUUAAUUUAAACUCCAUGUAUAUGUUUUGGAGCUAUUCGUUUCUUUUGUUGUCUUCUCAGAAUUUUUGUUUAGUAUCAUGAAUUUAAUCAAUAUACUAACUUGAAAUUUGAACUGUAAUGCGUAACAGAGACCCGUACUUGGGGAGUAUUUUUAGGGACAAGUUCCAUGGAUUUCUGUUAUGUCCCUAGCCAAUGGACACUGUUAUGGAUGGUCUUGCCAUAAAGGCUGAAAACACGGUUUCCAUGUUCACAGCUUCUGAAAUGGGGAAGUAAAAUUCACGUGUUGGAACCAGGCUUUUGUAAGAGUCCCUUAGUCAACUAGCUCAAAGGUUUCCGAGCAAGUUCAGCAGGUACUUGCAUCAAAAUUCUAAAUUUGUAUCUACUCUUCAUUUCCGGCACCAAUAAUAUGAUGGACUUUACUGAUUUUACACUUAUUAGAAGUGAUGCUGAUUUUUUUCUUUCAAGGUAGUUCUUUUGUGUCACGGAAAUAGAUUAAAAGAGUAUAUUUUCAAUUAAGAAGUUGUGUCUUUGUUGGACCAAAGGCUUCAAACAAGUGGAUAUUUCUGCUUUAUAGUCAACUUGAAUGACACAAGUGUCUUAUUCAAGGUUAGAUUUAAAGUUGACAUCAGUGGUGGACACUAACCUCUAGAAUUUGCGCUACCUUAAUAAAUUUAAGUUCAACCAUUUAAAUGAACUUCCUUGAAAAUUUGAUCGUAACAUCAACAACGUUCUUCAUAAAAUUGUAGGCAUCUAGGAAAAUGGCAGAGAAUGACAUUCAUUUUCCAUGGGAGUAACUCGGUAAGGAUAUCUAACUUAGGAACCAGUAGCUUAUUGUAGCCGUAUCACGAGCUAAAACUUUAUGUCGUUAAAACCAUGUUGACAAUACCGCUAAUAAUAUUUAACCUUAAUUAAAACCAGGUUGAUAAUAGCGCUAACAAGUAACAAUAUUUAACUUUUUUAUAAAAAGAUUAUUGUCCAGAUUAUAUCACAUUUAAAUUGUGACAUUGAUUAAACCAGUUUGACUAGAGAAGUUGGUCUCAGGUCUGUUUCAGGGUGUAAACUCCUAUUUCUAGAAGAACCCUUUUGUGUUAUUUAUAUAUGUCUUUUUUUUUUGUAUACUAUCUCAAUGUACAUGGCUGCAGGUUUGUAAACCAAUUUUUGCCUUGUAACAUUAAGGUCAUUUGAUUCAUAUUUUCUUUUUUAUACUAAGAUAAGCAUCUAAGGCGAAGUUUUUUCUUUUAAGUUAUCUGUCUAAUGCCAAUUGCACCGCAUACUGUCUUGCUCCUUCUCCAAAGAUUAUGAAUGACAGAUCUAGAAUUAUAAAAGGACUUAUGGAUUUGAUUCCCGUCUUACAUGGUACAACUUUCUGUUGAAGCUGUAUUCUACAAAUGUUCUGCAUUUUUUCUGUUGUGUAUAAUCAGAUUUUCCUUUUGCUUCUUCAGCUAGCAACCUGUAGCUUCUUUGACUCGAAGAAGUUUGACUCAAAGAUUUUCCUUUUGCUUCUUCAGCUAGAUAGAUGGAAUGCAGGAGUUUGACUCAAAGCUUAGUUCAUUUUAAGCUUUAAUGCCUUUUCUGCUCCAGUUUUAAUGUUUUUUAAUUUUUAUGUGGCUUAGUUGAUCAGGCAGAGCUUCAUUUAUUGCUUCCCCGCCAUUUGUAUUGAAAUAUUAGCUUACGAAUAAUUUGACAGUCAGGUCUGUAAUUUUUGGAGUAGGUGCCCGAUUCAUGUGGUAGUAGAUCUUACCGUAUCGGCCAAUUUUCCAGCUUUGGCAGCAGCAGCCACCCGUUUGUCAUCCUUCCCACAGCUGCUUCUCAUACGACUUUCUGUAAUUUACACAUGAGGUCAUUCAGAGCAUCUCACAGUUGAAGCAUCGGCACAAAGUACAAUCAAGUCCUUCCUUUUUUUCGUAAUAAAUAUUUUUUAACUUCAGAAUCGAUGGUUGAUUCAUGGAGUGGUAGAUUAUUUGCAAAUAAUACACUGCCAUUCUAUAAUUUUAACACUUUUAUCUGAGAUGGUUGCUCCAUGGGAAAUUGAGAAUAUAUAUGUUUAUA